CAAGUUUCAGAUGUUUAUGAAAAAAUAAAUUCAUAAUUGACUGGUGAGAAUUACAAUAAAGCUCUUUAAGGAAAUUGCUAGAGAAAACGUCACUGCCACAACUACCAUAUUAGAGUUUAGCCUCUAAGAACAACCAAAUAGCCUUCUUGAGAAGCAUCAUGCACGCUAAUGACAAGGUAAUUUUUUGCUUCAUUUUAUUUUGUUUUGAUCACAGUGCCAUAUGAUGGUAAAGAUCACAAGUUUGGGUGCCAUACAAAAUGGGGUUAGAAAUUCACUUCUUUUUCGGGACUGGGGAUGUGGCUCAAGUGGUGGCGCGCUCGCCUAGCAUGCGUGAGGCACUGGAUUCGAUUCUCAGCACCACAUAAAAAUAAAAUAAAGAUAAUGUGUCCACCUAAAACUAAAAAAUAAAUAUUAAAAAAAAUUCACUUCUUUUUCUUUUUAGUGUGUGACUUUAAGAAAACUGUGAAAUCUCUCUGUGCCUCACUCUUCUCAUCUAGAAAGCAGAGAGAACAAUUAUCAUAAGAAUUGUCAUGAAGGUAAAAUGAAGGAAUCCACAACAAGCAUAACAUGGUGCCUGUCGCAUAGCUGAUUCCCUGUAACUGACUACAGAGAUAGAGAAAGAAGAGCGUUUUCUGGAGGACAGCUAUGGGCAAGGUUUUGUUCUAAGCACUUUGCUUACAUUAUUCAUUUCACCUCCUGAGAAUCCUGUGGGGUAAGCACUACUCUUAUCCUCAUUUUGUACUUAGGAAAACUUGUCCAUGGGUCAUUUACCCAUAGCUACAUGGGUAAUUUGGUUCACCAUGGGAAAUGGUGAACCAAAGCUAUCUAGCUCCAGAAGACUUCCUCAGAAAGGAUGUGUCCAGUUGUUGUUCUAAACUGUUGAGCUGUGAUUUUUUGCCUAGAAAACCCGAGUGGAAUAUUUCAUCCCUGUCCCCCUCAUUUGUUGACUCCAGUCAGUGAACAUCCAACAUCAACUGGACUCUGCCUCCUUGGAAAGUCCCCAGGCCCAGUCUGGAUGGAUGACCUGUAUGAACAGUUACCUUUGACCUGGCCUUCCAACUGAAAACAAAAAGGAGGACAGUUACAUAAAAUAAUGAUGACCUACAUUCUUGACACCCUAAGUUGCCUCUGGAGCCCCAGAACCAACACCAAGCAUCGCCAGGAGAAAAAUACAAACCGAUGUCCAAUCUGCUGUUAUCCCUCAAAGGCCUCAGCAUUAGCUCAGCUUGGCUGAGCAUCAGUGGAUAUUGAUUGGUUUGGUUUUGCCGCCCAUGUUCCCUCAAGGGAGGACCAGCAUUUUUUAACAUUAAUCCACGAUGAAAUUUAAAACAAAAAAUACAUAGACUAGAUAAAAGCUUAAAAUUUCAGAAUUUUUUAUGGAGACAUAAUUUGCAAGAAGCUUCUUGGAGUUACAGAAGGAUCCUUUAAAGAAAUUGCUUACGUUUUAAAAUGCUAAACAUUAUGAAAUAAGAGAGAACAGCAGUCCUCCCUUUUCACGGGGGAAACAUUGCAAGACAUCCACCAGAUGCCUGUAACCGUGGAGUCUAGUGAACUCUAUAACUGAAUACCUUUCCAUCUUAACCAAAUUCUCAUCAUACACUGUAAUCAUAACUUUUCCAAUUAAGGUGUGACAGCAAAACUAACACAGAUUUCUUUUUUCUUCUUCACAAUUUCAGAUACAAUAUUCAUUUUUAUGGUAGCUCUUAGCAACCUCUGCAUUUUUUUUUCUGUUCUUAAGUCAAUAACUCUCACCUUUUAAAGGAAACAUUUUAAGCCUUCUCUUUGGCAUAUCUGAAUUGUCAGCAUCACUUUGGGGCCAUUAUUGAGUUAAACAAGGGUUACUUGAUCAUAGCACUACUGUGACAGUCUGAUAACUAAAAUUGCUAUUAGCAAUUAACAGGUGAGUAGUAUGUAGAGUGUGGAUACAAUGAACAAAGGGAUUAUUUAUGUCCCAGGAGGGUAGAGUUAGGCUGGCUUGUGAUCUCACCACACUACUCAGAACAGCACUCAAUUUAAAACAGAUUUCUUAUUUCUGGAAUUUUCCAUUUAAUUUAAAAAAAUAUUUUUUUUUAAAUGGAAAAUAUUUUUAGACAGCAGAUGACCAAAAGUAAUGUAACUGUAGAAAAUGAAAAUGCAGAUAAAGGGGGAUUAUCAUACUGCCAAAUGAGGAUCUUGAAACAGGAUUUAACAAAUGAGUGAUAAAAUCUUAUAAUUAUUCCAUUUCAUAUUCUUCAUGUACACAUAGUUUUGUUGCUCUAUUAAACAUGGCUUCUAUAAACUUGUUUUUCUAAUUGGCUUA
rnacentral:lncRNA from 1 species